UCGCUCGCUCCCUCCCUUGCUCGCGCGCGAUGGCGGCGGCGCCUCCUUCCUGCAGCCGCCGCUCCCGAGCGCGCGCCCCUUCGCUUCUGCGCGUGCCUGGCACGGGACUGCUGCAGAAGGAUAACGGCCCCCAGGCGCGCGCCGCGAGGGGAUGAGCGGCGUCGGACAGCGAGAAGCAGCCACAGCGCGCGCUCGCCUCAGGGGCUCGCUGCCGCCGCCGCGGCCUGAGGCAGGGAGCGGGCGCCAAGGGAGCAGUGCGCGUGCGCCCCGAAAAAAUGCCGCUACUGCGGCUACUGCGGCGCGAGACUGAGCUCGAGGAGACCCGCGAACGGGCAGAGGGAGCGGGGUGGGCAAGUGCGCGUGCGCAGUAGGAACUGCCAGCCGGCGCGCCUGCUGGCGCAAGGCAGAGGGAGUGGCUCAAGGGAGGCGCGCGCUUUGCGCGCGCCAGAAGCAGUCAAUCCUCUGCCUCGCGCUGGCUCUGGGAGAAAACAGGAGUGGAAAGGCAUGGCCUGGCUCUGGAGGAGGAGACGAAGGGCGCAAUCCCGCUCGCGCGGGACCUGACUAGCCAAUGGGAGGCAAGGAGCGAAGACGGCCUAGUUCUCCGCGUAAUCCUGGCCUCCAGAUCAACAUUAUCCAAAUGACUGCAGAGGAACUGUCAGUUUGGACGUCUGGAGGGGAAGUAAUGAUGGAAGAGGGCACAGCCGAAAAACUUGAUUCCUCUGAACCAAAGAGGAGUUCCUAUGGGACUCCUCCGGAAGUACGCAUUGUAGAAAAUGAGCUCUCGGGGCCCCGAGUUUGGGUUUUGGAACGCAUGAAAAAAGCCCGUUUCCCAUUGUAUUUUGUCCUUUAGUUUCUUCCUCCGUUAGAUGUUAAAUUGUACCUCCCUCAGAAGGGUAGCUCCCUGAAACAGCCCAAAUUUAAAUUUACAUCUAUAUGUGUGUCUAAAUUUUUCAUUAGUACAUGCUUGAAGUACAUUCUGAUUAUUUAUUAAUCGUGGAUGUUUUCGUAUAUGUACAUACCUGUGGUAAAGUUUAAACUUAGACGCAAGAACAGAUUAACAAUAAAAUAGAACAGUUAUAACUUAACUGAUCUGUAAUGAAAAA